rnacentral:tRNA from 8 species
GCACCGCUAGCUCAACUGGCAGAGCAGCUGACUCUUAAUCAGCGGGUUCAGGGUUCAAGUCCCUGGCGGUGUACCA